rnacentral:rRNA from 1 species
UACAGAGGUCCCAAGCGUUGUUCGGAUUCACUGGGCGUAAAGGGUGCGUAGGCGGUCGGGUAAGUCUGAUGUGAAAUCUCACAGCUUAACUGUGAAACUGCAUUGGAUACUAUCCGGCUUGAGGAAUGGAGGGGAGACUGGAAUACUUGGUGUAGCAGUGAAAUGCGUAGAUAUCAAGUGGAACACCAGUGGCGAAGGCGAGUCUCGGACGACUUUCCUGACGCUGAGGCACGAAAGCCAGGGGAACAAACGGG